rnacentral:rRNA from 1 species
GGGCGAGGCGGGGCUAUCUGCAGUCGAGCGAGCUUGCCUAGAUGAUUUUAGUGCUUGCACUAAAUGAAACUAGAUACAAGCGAGCGGCGGACGGGUGAGUAACACGUGGGUAACCUGCCCAAGAGACUGGGAUAACACCUGGAAACAGAUGCUAAUACCGGAUAACAACACUAGACGCAUGUCUAGAGUUUGAAAGAUGGUUCUGCUAUCACUCUUGGAUGGACCUGCGGUGCAUUAGCUAGUUGGUAAGGUAACGGCUUACCAAGGCAAUGAUGCAUAGCCGAGUUGAGAGACUGAUCGGCCACAUUGGGACUGAGACACGGCCCAAACUCCUACGGGAGGCAGCAGUAGGGAAUCUUCCACAAUGGACGAAAGUCUGAUGGAGCAACGCCGCGUGAGUGAAGAAGGGUUUCGGCUCGUAAAGCUCUGUUGGUAGUGAAGAAAGAUAGAGGUAGUAACUGGCCUUUAUUUGACGGUAAUUACUUAGAAAGUCACGGCUAACUACGUGCCAGCAGCCGCGGUAAUACGUAGGUGGCAAGCGUUGUCCGGAUUUAUUGGGCGUAAAGCGAGUGCAGGCGGUUCAAUAAGUCUGAUGUGAAAGCCUUCGGCUCAACCGGAGAAUUGCAUCAGAAACUGUUGAACUUGAGUGCAGAAGAGGAGAGUGGAACUCCAUGUGUAGCGGUGGAAUGCGUAGAUAUAUGGAAGAACACCAGUGGCGAAGGCGGCUCUCUGGUCUGCAACUGACGCUGAGGCUCGAAAGCAUGGGUAGCGAACAGGAUUAGAUACCUGGGUAGUCCAAAA